GAAGUGCGAUAAGUCAUGUGAAUUGCAGAAUUCCGUGAAUCAUCGAAUCCUUGAACGCAAAUUGCAUUCUGGUGUUGAAUCAGAAUGUGCCUGAUCGAGUGUCGGCAAUAAAUACUCUUUAAAAAGCAUUUAUGUUUUAUUAAAGUGAAUGAAAGUUCAAUAUUUCUUUAUUGAUCUUUUUAAAUGAAUGGUGAUUAAUUUGUUCAAUUGAAUUUUUUAAAUAAAUUCAUAAACAAAUAUAUCAAAUGAAAUAAGUAAUUUUAGAUAAUUACCAAAAUCCAUUUGAUAUGUUUAUAAUUAUUUAUAAAAAUUUAGAAUGAAUGAAAACCUUGAAUGUGAAUUUAUUUAAUUCUUUCCAUUCAAUUCAUCAAAAUUCGACCUCGAUUUAGGCAAGAUGACC
rnacentral:misc_RNA from 1 species